rnacentral:lncRNA from 1 species
GCAAAGCAAGGGCCGAAUAGUAUAUUAGUAUAGGCCAGUUCCCUCACUCCCCAGAUUCCCCUUUUCAUAGCACCUCUAUACCUCUUCUUCUCGUCGUCACUCUAUCCCGCAUCUGCUGUUCUUUAUUUCUAUACAUACAUAUAUACUAUCAUCGGUUAUUUGCUUCUCUAUUCUGUCCGAGUACUUUACGGUGUUCCGCACAUAGAUCUCGUGGCCGGCUGUUUUGCGCUUUCGCUUGCGUUUCUUGGCCCUGCUGGUGUUGACCGGUCCGAACGGGGGCAGAUCGAUGCUUUGGGUUUGAAGCGGAGCUCCUAUCAUUCCAAUGAAGGGUCGUUCCGAAGGGCUGGUUCCGCUGCUCGUUCAUGGUUCCCACUAUCCUAUCUCAUCAUGUGUAUAUAUGUAAUCCAUGGGGGAGGGUUUCUCUCGUCUUUGAGAUAGGCUUGUGGUUUGCAUGACCGAGGAGCUGCACCGCCCCCUUGCUGGCCGCUCUUUGGAUUGAAGGGAGCUCUGCAUCCUGAUCCACCCCUCCAUUUUUUUUUGCUUGUUGCGUCCUUCCUGGGACCUGAGAUCCGAGGCUCGUGGUGGCUCACUGUAGCCUCGCUACACUGUUUUCUUCUCCUCUCCUGUGCUAUUUGCUGUUUCUCCUAAGAUUCUUUAGGCCGUGCUUAUCCGUGCUGGAGUUUAACGAAGCAGCACGUUGCUGCUGCUGGUGCUGCCCUCAUGCCCUGGUGGUCGACUGGUAUCGGUACCCGUACUUGCGUCGCUUUAUUAUACCCUAUCUUCGCCGGUGAGGUUUCCGGCCGUUCGGUACAGGUAGUCUAUGUCAAACACUCGUUUUAUUUCUUGUCAUACUAUAUUCUUCUGCUUCCUGUUCGUACCGGCGGCGUGUGCCUUUGCGGUGGCGCUCCUGGAUCUGGGUGCAGCGAGCGCCCGUCAGCUUCUCCCUCCCCAUGCCACCUCGUCAACGCCCCCCGGCACCUGGCAGAUUCGCCGUCAUGCUGGCUCAGCGCUCGACCCCUCGCGCUCGGCGGCGUCGCCUGCAGGCCAGUGCUAGGACUGCUGCUGCAACGCUUCGCGAUGCAAGGACGUCGUUCCAGCAGGACGAUUCUGUUUGGACUCCGGAACUGCGGUUUGGAGUUCUGAAGGCGAAUAGGCGAUAAUAAUGCGGUGUAAAUUGUGAUGAAAGCUGAGAUUCUUUGUAUGAAAUACGGAAUGUAUCGCUUGGACACUGUAUCGCGAAUUGGUGGAUGAGCAAAAAAAAAAAA